rnacentral:rRNA from 1 species
CGAGGACGACGGUCCGAGCAGGGACGAAAGUCGGGACUAGUGAUCCGGUGCCGGUGUACGGACGCGGCAUCGCUCAACGGAUAAAAGGUACCCCGGGGAUAACAGGCUGAUCAUUCCCAAGAGUCCAUAUCGACGGGAUGGUUUGGCACCUCGAUGUCGGCUCGUCGCAUCCUGGGGCUGGAGCAGGUCCCAAGGGUUCGGCUGUUCGCCGAUUAAAGCGGCACGCGAGCUGGGUUCAGAACGUCGUGAGACAGUUUGGUCUCUAUCCUCUGCGCUCGUUGGAAUGCUGAGGAGGCCUGCCCAUAGUACGAGAGGACCUGGGUGGACGAACCUCUGGUAUGCCGGUUGUCACGCCAGUGGCACGGCCGGUUGGCUACGUUCGGAAGGGAUAACCGCUGAAAGCAUCUAAGCGGGAAGCCUGCUCCAAGAUAAGCAUUCCGUGGAACCUUCGAGUUCCUGUAGUCCCCAUGCAGAACACGUGGUUGAUAGGCCGGACGUGGAAGCCCCGCGAGGGGUGGAGCCGACCGGUACUAACGGACGAAAGGCAACACUAA